ensembl:Y_RNA Y_RNA Y RNA
GGCUGGUCCGAAGGUAGUGAGUUAUCUCGAUUGUUCACAGUCAGUGACAGAUCGAACUCCUUGUUCUACUCUUUCCCCACUUCUCACUACUGCACUUGACCAGUCUUAA